rnacentral:rRNA from 1 species
GACGAACGCUGGCGGCGUGCUUAACACAUGCAAGUCGAACGGUGAAGCGCCUUCCUUUUUGGUGGGUGUGGAUGAGUGGCGAACGGGUGAGUAACACGUGAGUAACCUGCCCCCUUCUUCUGGAUAACCGCAUGAAAGUGUGGCUAAUACGGGAUAUUCUGGGUCUGUCGCAUGAUGGGUCUGGGAAAGAUAUUGUUUCGGUGGGGGAUGGGCUCGCGGCCUAUCAGCUUGUUGGUGGGGUGAUGGCCUACCAAGGCGGUGACGGGUAGCCGGCCUGAGAGGGUGGGCGGUCACACUGGGACUGAGACACGGCCCAGACUCCUACGGGAGGCAGCAGUGGGGAAUAUUGCACAAUGGGCGCAAGCCUGAUGCAGCGACGCCGCGUGAGGGAUGGAGGCCUUCGUGUUGUGAACCUCUUUCGCCAGUGAAGCAGGCCUGCCUCGUUUGUGGGUGGGUUGACGGUAGCUGGAUAAGAAGCGCCGGCUAACUACGUG